AAAAACGAAAAAAUUGUGUGAUUAAAUGAAUGGAUGAAACAGAAGCCUUACUGUAUAUCCCGGAAGAUAGUGGACAGACCGGGUACAAUAGAAAACCCUACCGUAAACGUUGUCUCAUACCGAUUGGGGUAUUAAGACUUAGUGAUUUGGUGCUCAUACCAGAUGGGGUAUGGGGACGGCUCGUUUUACCCUCAUACUGGAUGGGGUAUCGAGAUUUAGUGGCUCGACACCCAUACCAGACCGAGUAUGGGGACGGCCCUUUAAUUGAGAAUGUUGAAGGAAAGGAUUCACGCAUAGUAGGGACAUCCCUAUGAACCCCCAUGGAUACCAGUAGGUCGAUAAAAGGAAAGAUUGUUGUUUGAUUUAUUGAAUAUGGAUUUAUAAUGUGUGUUUGUCACUAAUUACAUAUGAAAUCAUGAUAAAUGUUAUAUUAUUAUCUUUAUAGGUUGCUUUUAUAAAUCUCGCUGCGGUAAGUGGAUGGUAAAUGAUUUUAUUUUUAAUAAAUGUAUUGGUUUAAAUUAAGUGCUCCAUCAUUCGUUUUGAUUUUCUACAAACCUUCAUUUCUGUGUCGGUGAUAUAGUGUGAUAUUCUUACUGGACUAGUGCAGCUCAUCCCUUAUUUAACCAUUUCAUAUCAAGAGGACCAGGACAGAGAGCCCAAUCCGCAAGAAAGUUACGAGUAGAAUGCUAAUUUUUAUUUAUUUUCCGUUCAUUUCCUUGUUUCUUUGUAUUUCUUUCAAAAGGGUGAAUUCCAAAACAAAAAUUGGUACUUUAAGUUAUUGUGUAAGGAAUGUAAAUUUUGAACAUUUAUUUCGCUUUCGCAUUUUAAUUAUCAUUUAUUUCUUUUGAAUAUUUCUGGGGUC
rnacentral:lncRNA from 1 species